rnacentral:tRNA from 1 species
CAGAGAGUAGUUUAUGAAAAUAUUAAUUUUGGGGAUUGAUGAUAAGAGGUUUUCUUUUCUCUGA